rnacentral:rRNA from 1 species
GCUUAGCCCUAAACCCAAACAAUUAUAUAACAAAACUGUUCGCCAGAGAACUACUAGCCACAGCUUAAAACUCAAAGGACUUGGCGGUGCUUUAUAUCCAUCUAGAGGAGCCUGUUCUAUAAUCGAUAUACCCCGAUAAACCUCACCACUUCUUGCCAAUUCCGCCUAUAUACCGCCAUCUUCAGCAAACCCUUAAAAGGAACCACAGUAAGCACAAAUAUUUUACAUAAAAACGUUAGGUCAAGGUGUAGCUUAUGAAGUGGAAAGAAAUGGGCUACAUUUUCUACAUAGCUAGAACAAUACCAAACGAACGUCUCCAUGAGAAUUGGAGCCCAAAGGAGGAUUUAGUAGUAAGUCAAAAAUAGAGUGUUUGACUGAAUUAGGCCAUGAAGCACGC